UACGUAGGGUGCAAGCGUUAAUCGGAAUUACUGGGCGUAAAGCGUGCGCAGGCGGUGAUGUAAGACAGAUGUGAAAUCCCCGGGCUUAACCUGGGAACUGCAUUGGUGACUGCAUCGCUAGAGUAUGGCAGAGGGGGGUGGAAUUCCACGUGUAGCAGUGAAAUGCGUAGAUAUCUGGAGGAACACCGGUGGCGAAGGCGGCAUCCUGGACCGAUAUUGACGCUGAUGCGCGAAAGCCAGGGGAGCAAACGGG
rnacentral:rRNA from 1 species